rnacentral:rRNA from 1 species
AUACGUAGGGUGCAAGCGUUAAUCGGAAUUACUGGGCGUAAAGCGUGCGCAGGCGGUUUUUUAAGACAGAGGUGAAAUCCCCGGGCUCAACCGGGGAACUGCCUUUGGGACUGCGAGGCUAGAGUACGGGAGAGGGGGAGGGAAUUCCGCGGGUAGCGGUGAAAUGCGGAGAUAUGAGGAGGAACACCGGUGGCGAAGGCAUUCCCCUGGGGCUGUACUGACGCUCAUGCAAGAAAGCGGGGGGAGCAAACAGGAUUAGAUCCCCUGGUAGUCCACGCCCUAAACGGUGUCAACUGGUUGUUGGGUUUUCAUUGACUCAGUAACGAAGCUAACGCGUGAAGUUGUCCGCCUGGGGAGUACGGCCGCAAGGUUGAAACUCAAAGGAAUUGACGGGG